rnacentral:lncRNA from 1 species
AUGAGAAACGAGGUCCCUACGCAAAAUAACCGAGUUUCCUCUUUCAGAAUGAAAAGAGGGAAGGAGUUAGAAGGACACACAGAGAGACCGGAGGUGAGAGGGCACACGCAGAGGAGCAUAAGCUCUCCAAACACACACCCCGCUCUGUCCUCCGGUCUGGGCUCCCUCGCAGCAGCGCUGACUCUCAGUACUGGUCCUUCUCUCCCCUCUCCCAGGCCCGGGGACAAUGUAGAGCCUGUAUUUUCAGGAGCCGCGCGGGGCGGCAGGGUUUUCAGCAGCCAGCCGGGCUCCGAGCCGCUGUUUGUCCAGGUGUGGGCGGGGGGCGGCGGGCUCCCAGCGGCCAGUCCCCGGCUGGCGCUGGAUUUUCUCACCAAGGAAGCGGGAGGCUCUCCUCGCGGCUUCCCGCUUCCAGGAGAAAACUCCCUCCUUCCCUACAUACAUGCAUAUAUUAGUGGAACAGACAAAUCUUCAUUGUUCGGAAAUAAGCCGAGGAGGCCGGCCGACUCCCCCUGGCCCAGCCGAACGAGAACAGCAAGUGGAUGGGAAAGAACCUUGACAACACAAAACUCAUUUACUAAUGGACUGGUUUUGAGUUUCUCUUCUCGGGGUCCGCAAAUCUCCCUGCCUGAGUCCUCCGCCCAUUCAGACCUCGCAGGGAGCACGGUCCCCCAGGAGGCAGGUGGGCGGCUGCUCCGGCGCCGCGCUGGCCGUCGGAGCAGGGAUCCCAAGGGUCGGGGGCACCCGGAGUUCCCAACGAGGCAGAGGAAAAAAGACGAAUGUUGUCACUGCACCCUGGAUUUGGGGAGUCUCCGCACGGCCCUAGAGCGACGACGCUAAUAUACUGAAGAAACACCUCCCGAUGCUCUUCCCUUCCAGAUAUCCGUAGGUAGAGCAGGAUCCCCGCGGUAGUUCUUCUUGUUGGCGAAGCAAUUCCAAGAAAGCGGGCCGGGAGCCCCAAAGCAUCUCUCUCCAAGCCAGAGGGGAAACAGAUGGGCUCCACACAGAGGUUUCUGAACCAAGGCCUUAUACCGACCCAGCCGAGAACCCCUGCCAGCAACUAGUGCAUUGGCCUUUUGCAUAAAGCAGCUGAGCGCACCGGGCCGUUACUUGCACAGAGGAGGCACAGAAGAGCCCGAGCCCGGCGUCGGGUGCCGGUUGUCGGUCGCCAGCCGCGUUACCCUCGGGAGCCGCCGAGAAGCAGCAAGGGCAGGAGCUAGUUGCUCGUUCCCUUUAAAUCUCCGACGCAUCUCCGUUUUUCGUGUGAUUUGCAUUGACAGCAAAGGUUUUAAGUUACUAGAACAACUCAAAGCUUUCUGUGUACGAUUUAAAAUGGAUCAUUUGGUUUAUGUGGUUUGUAAAUUCAUGUCAUUUUACCUCUUUUAGUGGUUUUCACUGAAAGGCUCCAUUUUGGGAAACCUUAUAUAUCCGAGCCAACAAUUAACAUUUAUAACAAUUGGUUUCCCUAACCAAGGGAUCGAAAUAGUAGGUAGGUUCAUUGGUACAAAGCGAAUAGCACUUCUCCUUUCUAGUUACGCGAUCUAUUGGAUUAAACGCAAGGAGAAAGGCCGGCGGGUCCCGGCUCGGCCUCUGAGGACAAGCACCACAUCUCAUCAACCUCGGUGCACCCACUUGCGGCACCCACGCGGUCAUCUCCCCAGUUGUCGCCAACAUAUCUCACGUCCGCGUUCCUUUUGAAGAAAGAUGAAAAGAAGCGGGCAGAGAGGUCUGGAGGAAGCAGAAAAAAAAAAAAAAAAAGGUGGUCCUAUUGGUGUCUAAUUGCCAUCUUUCUGCUCCUCGUCAUCCCCUGUAAAUUUAUACCUGCCCUUAUUUGUCCAAGCUACGCCUCAUUUCCUAAUACAAAAUUGUUAAUUAUAAAGUACACCCCACACUCAACUUACCGUUUGUCUUUUAAGAGAUGAGACUGUACUUACAGACCCUCCACUCCCUAUGCACACAUUUUAAUUCUGCGCACUUGCUCCGGACUUGAGGGUAUUAACUGAUUUUUAGAGCCGAGUUUAAGCCUCCGUUCUGGUCUUCACACAGCUGCCAUGUCAAUAAGGACUAUUGAAAACAGAGAUGUUCCUUCUGGCAGGACACUGCAGCUCCUUAGGAGCUGAAACAUCAUGAGCACUAAAAUAAGACAGCGAGGGAAAAUUACCAGACACAUGGGUUUGGGCUCAGCCAUGCCAGGCUUCCAGUUUAGAAAGUAAGUCAUUGGACACACCAUAGGGUUGGGGCUCUUUUGAAAUAAUAUGCACCAAAAAAGAGAGAAAAGAAAAAGAGAGAGAAAGAAAGGAAGGGACAAAGGAAAAGAAAUACUAAUGCACCCAUUAACUGUAUUUUAAAAAUAACUCUAAAGGUAAUGAAAUAUCAGCAUCUAUUUCCAAGGUCUAAUUGCAUGGGAUACUGCAGAAUUUUAAGGAUGCAAAAUGCACUGUGUGGGAGUUCAGAGGAGAAGCAGCUUCUCUCUACUUGGAAUCUCUGGAGAGACAGUCAGGAGGGUGAAACCCUUCAUGAGUUUAAAUGUGCAUUGCAGGGUGCACUAAACUGGGUGCAUUAUUGUGAAACCAUAUAAAUAAUACAGGGGGAAACUUACGCAGUGCCCACUUAAGUCUCAAUAUAUAAAUGGUUCUGUGGAGCUGGGUUCUGGCUCAUGUAAUCAAAACAUAUUUGAAGAAGACAAGCAAGUUUAAAGAACCUAGAGUUUGUUCUUCACAUUCACUAAGAGGGUGCAUUUAAAUCAAAAGCAUUUUUGAAGUGUACUUAAAAUUCUGUUUUGCACUUAUCUAAUCAGAGAUAAGUAUAGGUUAUAAAGUCACUCUCCAUCUACCAUUCUGCUCCCCUUAUCUUCCCACAUUGUUCUUAUCUGCUGCCAGUCUCAGCUACUGACAAUAGAUUAUCUUUGUUUAGAGACGCUAAUUGUUUUCAAAAUCUUUUUAAUAAUUGCUUUGGAACAAGGUGUGCAAAUGAGGCUUAAGAUAAUUACAGCUUCAUUUGUUUGUACAGUUUUACUAAACAUUCUCCACAUAUACACAAAGUAACAGAUGAUGGGAUUGAAAUUGCGGGACAUCUCUCAUUCCCUGGCAGUAAAAUAGGCCAGCAUUGCAAUCUACACACACACACACACACACACACACACACACACACACACCCCUCUUUAUUUAAUCUUCCUGGAGCCGCUGUCGUCCUGGCUUUGAGGGCAGUGUCCCUCUCAGAGCAGGGCAAGGAUUAGGUUACAAUCAGAAGGCUAUUGGAGCCGGACACAGUUUUAUUUAAUUUACACCCCGUCCAGCGCCUUUUGUACGAGGUUCCCAAAGCAUUUUUGCUAAUAGCAAGUAAAGCCUCUCGGCAUUCCUCAGUAGCAGAGAUGGCCUUGGAAAACGCAAUCGCGCACAUGGGGAAACUGAGUCCAGAAGGCUGCUCGCUUAAACCAUCGAACGCGAAGAUACCAAAUCACAAAUGAACCCUCAGAAUCUUUAUUUGCUCCAAACAGCUCUUCUCAUGGUCCCAAAUAGUCUUGGCCUCUUGAAAAUGAGGGAAGCGCUAACCAGCUGAGAAUACUUGUGCCCUUUGGAGGGCGGUGGGGUGAAGGAAGAACAGUGGAGGAAAUGAGGCUCCUAGAACUGAAGUCAGCCAGGGAGCAGCUACUCUUCCAGAGGCUGCAGCUCGGAGCCCAGCUCUGAUCUUGUAUUAUUUAUCGCGUUCCCUAAGCUAUUCAUCAAUCCAUUAUUUAUUCAUUCCAACAUUAAGGUAAUUAAAUAUGAGCUCACCGGGAAAGGGCAAGUCUGCAAGGGACAGGGACAGGGGUAUGGAGGGAGAGGGG